UGUCACAACCAAGUCUUCCUCUGCUUUCCUCGCUGUGUCUCUCUUUCCCUCUGUGUCGCACAGAGAAAGAGAGUUCACUUGCGGAUCUCACUCUCUGGAUCCACGCACAGCUAUGUAAUAUGAAGAGUAUGCUUCAGGCAAGUUAUUUUGCCUCCUAAAUUUAGCAAACUGGUAGACACUGAUAGAAAUUGGUUUGCGUACAAAGAAUCUUGUACAAAUAUGGGUCGCAUAAAGCAGCAAUCAGGAAUUAAGGCAAUUGAGGAAGAACCUGAAGACUGUGACUCUUCCUAUUCUAACAAGGCUACUCUAGCAUGCAUGAUUAAUGCAGAAGUAGGUGCAGUAUUGGCAGUCAUGAGAAGAAAUGUAAGAUGGGGUGGUCGUUGUAUGUCAGGUGAUGAUCAGCUAGAGCACUCUUUGAUUCAGUCUUUGAAGGCACUGAGGAAACAGAUCUUCUCUUGGCAGCAUCCUUGGCAUACCAUCAAUCCUUCUGUGUAUCUCCAACCAUUUUUGGAUGUUAUUCGAUCAGAUGAAACUGGUGCUCCAAUCACUGGGGUUGCUUUGUCAUCUGUUUACAAGAUUUUAACUCUUGAUGUGAUUGAUCAAAACACUGUAAAUGUUGAAGAUGCUAUGCACUUGGUAGUUGAUGCAGUGACAAGUUGCCGAUUUGAGGUGACUGAUCCAGCAUCAGAAGAGGUGGUUCUAAUGAAGAUACUUCAGGUUCUUCUAGCUUGUAUGAAAGGCAAAGCAUCAGUCACACUUAGUAAUCAGCAUGUCUGUACCAUAGUGAACACUUGUUUCCGUAUAGUUCAUCAAGUAGGAACUAAAGGCGAGUUGUUACAGCGAAUAGCUCGACACACAAUGCAUGAACUCGUUAGGUGCAUUUUUUCUCACCUUCCAGAUAUUGAAAACACAGAGCAUGCGCUGGUUAAUGGAGUUAGUCCUGCCAAACAGGAGAUUGCUGGUCUAGAUAAUGAUUACACAUUUGGGAGCAAACAAAUAGAGAAUGGCAGUUCUGAGUUGGAAGGGCAAACAUCCUCUGUUAGCUAUGUUUUGAGUGCUUCUACGGGACUGGUGGCAACUGUAAUGGAAGAAAGUACAAUUGGUGGUAGUAGUGGAAAAGGUGCUCUUCCAUAUGAUUUGCAGCUCAUGACAGAGCCAUAUGGUGUCGCUUGCAUGGUGGAGAUAUUUCACUUCUUGUGUUCUUUAUUAAAUGUUGUUGAACAUAUGGGAAUGGGUCCCAGAUCUAAUACGGUAGCUGUUGAUGAAGAUCUACCCCUUUUUGCUUUGGGAUUAAUUAAUUCAGCAAUAGAAUUGGGUGGGCCUUCUUUUCAUCGUCACCCCAGGUUGCUGAGUUUGAUUCAGGAUGAACUAUUUCGUAAUUUAAUGCAAUUUGGCUUGUCAAUCAGCCCACUUAUUCUCUCAAUGGUUUGUAGUAUUGUUCUAAACCUGUAUCACCAUCUGCGUACUGAACUCAAAUUGCAGCUCGAGGCUUUUUUCUCUUGUGUCAUUCUGAGACUUGCCCAGAGUAAAUAUGGUGCUUUAUACCAACAGCAAGAGGUUGCAAUGGAGGCUCUUGUAGACUUCUGCAGGCAGAAAACAUUUAUGGUCGAGAUGUAUGCUAAUUUGGAUUGUGACAUAACAUGCAGUAAUGUGUUUGAAGACCUAGCUAAUUUGUUGUCAAAGAGUGCUUUUCCUGUGAACUGCCCAUUGUCUACAAUGCACGUUCUUGCUUUGGAUGGUCUCAUUGCCAUUAUUCAGGGGAUGGCUGAAAGGUUAGGCAAUGGAUCAUUUAAUUCAGAUGAGCCUCCAGUGAACCUUGAGGAGUAUACACCCUUCUGGAUGGUGAAGUGUGACAACUAUAGUGAUCCUGAUCAUUGGGUUACCUUUGUCCGCCGGAGAAAGUACAUUAAGAGAAGAUUGAUGAUUGGAGCUGAUCACUUUAACCGUGAUCCAAAAAAAGGCCUAGAAUUUCUCCAAGGAACACAUCUCUUACCUGACAAACUUGAUCCUCAAAGCGUGGCCUGCUUUUUCAGGUAUACUGCUGGGUUAGAUAAGAAUCUUGUGGGGGAUUUCCUUGGAAAUCAUGAUGAGUUCUGUGUCCAGGUUCUUCAUGAAUUUGCUGGGACAUUUGAUUUCCAAGGCAUGAAUUUGGACACUGCUCUGCGGUUGUUCUUGGAAACUUUUAGGUUGCCUGGUGAAUCUCAAAAAAUACAAAGGGUGCUUGAGGCAUUUUCUGAAAGAUACUAUGAGCAAUCACCACAGAUCCUGGCUAACAAGGAUGCUGCUCUUUUGUUAUCUUAUUCUCUCAUAAUGCUCAACACAGAUCAGCAUAAUGUGCAGGUUAAGAAAAAGAUGACAGAAGAGGAUUUUAUACGGAAUAAUAGACAUAUCAAUGGAGGCAAUGACUUACCUCGAGAAUUCCUGUCUGAAUUGUACCACUCCAUUUGCAAGAAUGAGAUAUGCACAACUCCAGAACAAGGAACUGGUUUCCCUGAAAUGAUCCCAAGUCGUUGGAUUGAUCUAAUGCUCAAAUCCAAGAAAACUGCACCAUUUAUUGUAUCUGAUUCAAAAGCCUACCUUGACCAUGAUAUGUUUGCUAUAAUGUCUGGUCCCACAAUUGCUGCUAUCUCUGUUGUUUUUGAUCAUGCAGAAACUGUGGAUGUUUACCAAACAUGCAUUGAUGGAUUCUUAGCUGUUGCAAAGAUAUCAGCCUGUCAUCAACUUGAAGAUGUAUUUGAUGAUUUGGUUGUCUCUUUAUGUAAGUUCACAACUCUAUUGAAUCCAUCAUCUGCUGAAGAACCUGUGUUAGCCUUUGGUGAUGACCCAAAAGCCAGGAUGGCAACUGUGACCGUCUUUACCAUUGCGAAUAGGUAUGGUGAUUAUAUUCGCGCAGGUUGGAGAAAUAUUCUGGAUUGCAUUCUACGGUUGCAUAAACUUGGGCUUCUACCUGCACGUGUAGCCAGUGAUGCUGCUGAUGAAUCUGAGGUUUCUUCUGACCCUGGGCAUGGGAAACCUAUCACAAAUUCUUUGUCUUCAGCUCAUACGCAAUCCUUUGGAAUUCCAAGAAGAUCUUCUGGAUUGAUGGGUAGGUUUAGUCAGCUCUUAUCCCUUGAUACUGAGGAGCCAAGAUCACAACCCACUGAACAACAACUUGCUGCUCAUCAACAUAUGCUUCAGACUAUCCAGAAGUGCCAUGUUGACAGCAUAUUUACUGAGAGUAAGUUCUUACAAGCUGAAUCUUUGUUACAGCUUGCUCGAGCACUCAUCUGGGCAGCAGGGCAUCCCCAGAAGGGGAACAACACUCCAGAGGAUGAAGAUACUGCAGUUUUCUGCCUGGAGUUGCUGAUUGCAAUUACUCUGAACAAUCGGGACAGGAUAGCAUUAUUAUGGCAGGGUGUUUACGAGCACAUAGCCAAUAUUGUUCAAUCAACUGUAAUGCCUUGUGCCUUAGCAGAGAAGGCUGUGUUUGGACUCCUCCGAAUUUGCCAGCGGCUGCUGCCUUACAAAGAGAACCUCGCUGAUGAACUUUUGAGGUCAUUGCAACUUGUUUUGAAACUUGACGCCCGUGUUGCUGAUGCUUAUUGUGAACAAAUUACGCAGGAAGUCAGUCGCCUUGUGAAAGUGAAUGCUACCCACAUCAGAUCUCUAAUGGGGUGGCGUACAAUUACAUCACUACUUUCCAUCACAGCUCGGCACCCUGAAGCUUCUGAAGCUGGAUUUGAUGCAUUGUUGUUCAUUAUGAGUGAUGGAGCUCACUUGGUAGCUGCCAAUUACGUCCUCUGCAUUGAGGCAGCCAGGCAAUUUGCAGAGUCUCGCGUAGCACAGGCAGAAAGAUCUAUGCGUUCACUAGAUCUAAUGGCAGGUUCCAUUGACUUUUUAACGCGGUGGUCUCAUGAGGCUAAGGAAGCAAUGGAAGAGGAGGAAGCUGCAAAGCUGUUGCAGGAUAUUGGGGAGAUGUGGCUGAGGCUUGUGCAGGGAUUAAGAAAAGUUUGUUUGGAUCAUCGAGAAGAUGUUAGAAACCAUGCACUUUUAUCAUUGCAAAAGUGCUUGAGAGGAGUGGAUGGGAUCAAUCUGCCACAUGGUUUUUGGUUACGGUGUUUUGAUCUGGUAAUUUUUACAAUGCUUGAUGACUUGCUUGAAAUUGCUCAGGGACACUCCCAAAAGGAUUACAGAAAUAUGGAUGGCUCUCUAAUUAUUGCUGUAAAGGUCCUUUCAAAAGUGUUUUUACAGUUACUCCCAGACCUAGCACAGUUGACUACUUUCUGUAAAUUAUGGCUGGGGGUGCUCAGCCGAAUGGAAAAAUAUCUGAAAGUCAAAGUAAGAGGGAAGAAGUGUGAGAAGCUUCAGGAAGUAGUGCCUGAGCUUCUUAAGAACACCUUGCUAGUAAUGAAGGCCAAGGGAGUACUGGUACAGAGGAGUGCCUUAGGUGGGGACAGUUUGUGGGAGCUUACAUGGCUACAUGUCAAUAACAUUGCUCCAUCUUUACAAUCUGAGGUGUUCCCUGAUCGAGAUUGGGAGCGCACACAGCAUGAGCAUGGUGAAACAGGUGAAAGUCUGGUGGCCACUGAAUCAGGUUCUCUUACUUUAAAUGGACCAGUGGCUUCUGAAGAUUUUGGCGCUGGAGGUUAAUGUUUACAGAGUGUUUCUUCAUCCUAUGUUAUGUUUUAUUGGUGCAUAUUGCUGAGAUUUCAUGUCCUAUUCCUGGAAUUAACAACGAUAGCUGUAGAGAUUGAGGAAAGUUUUGGUAUCAUCUCAUGCUAUUGAGGCCAAUUUGCGCAGAAGCGAGUAGUCACAUGCAGUCAUGGUUGAUAUCUUCGAAGGAUAUGCAGCUGUGCCAGACUGCCACUACUGCAUGCCUUCUGCAAAUGUCUCCCAUAAAUGCAACUCCACUUUUAUUCUACCCAGUCGAGCAGAGAAGAAGGAGAUCUCUGAGAUAAAAUCUGGAUUGGAUGAUUGUGAUGUAUUGAUUCAGAAAAUGGACCUUGAGGCGAGGAGCCCCAUUUAGUUGUAUGUAAUAAUAAGGUUCUGCAGAUCAGAGAGAGAGAUUGUUUUUGUCAAUAGAAAGAUUAGAUAAGGAGAGUAGAAGAAUGAUGCUAGAAAUGGAAGAACUUGGUGCUUCAACUCUUGAAAUAAGGUAUCUCUCUGAAAUGGAAGAACUUGGUGCUUCAACUCUUGAAAUAAGGUCUCUCUCUGAAAUAGAAGAACUUGGUGCUUCAACUCUUGAAAUAAGGUAUCUCUCUGAAAUGUAAGAACUUGGUGCUUCAACUCUUGAAAUAAGGUAUCUCUCUGAAAUGUAAGAACUUGGUGCUUCAACUCUUGAAAUAAGGUAUCUCUCUGAAAUGGAAGAACUUGGUGCUUCAACUCUCUCUCUCUCUAGAAAAGCCUGAAGAAAAUUCAGAUUGUGAUGGAAACUGCGAUUAUUACAAAUCGCUAUGCGCCUUAAGUGGUUUGCUAGUCCUCACAAAAGAAGAAAACUUAAUCUUGGAUUUAAUCGAUAAUAUCGAUGACCCAAAAAAGAAGAGAGAAAAACCGGAAACCUAUAUUAAAAUAUAUAGGGAGAAAAUAGAAGCAUCCAGUUCUAGGAAUCCCUUAAAAA